UACGUAGGGUGCAAGCGUUGUCCGGAAUUAUUGGGCGUAAAGAGCGUGUAGGCGGCCGUACAGGUCAGCUGUGAAAACUCGAGGCUCAACCUCGAGACGUCGGUUGAAACCGUACGGCUAGAGUCCGGAAGGAGGAGAGUGGAAUUCCCGGUGUAGCGGUGAAAUGCGCAGAUAUCGGGAAGAACACCCGUGGCGAAGGCGGCUCUCUGG
rnacentral:rRNA from 1 species